rnacentral:rRNA from 1 species
ACGGGUGAGUAACGCGUGGGAACGUGCCCUUCGGUUCGGAAUAACUCAGGGAAACUUGAGCUAAUACCGGAUACGCCCUUAUGGGGAAAGGUUUACUGCCGAAGGAUCAGCCCGCGUCUGAUUAGCUGGUUGGUGAGGUUACGGCUCACCAAGGCGACGAUCAGUAGCUGGUCUGAGAGGAUGAUCAGCCACACUGGGACUGAGACACGGCCCAGACUCCUACGGGAGGCAGCGGUGGGGAAUAUUGGACAAUGGGGGCAACCCUGAUCCAGCCAUGCCGCGUGAGUGAUGACGGCCUUAGGGUUGUAAAGCUCUUUUCUCCGGGACGAUAAUGACGGUACCGGAGGAAUAAGCCCCGGCUAACUUCGUGCCAGCAGCCGCGGUAAUACGAAGGGGGCUAGCGUUGCUCGGAAUCACUGGGCGUAAAGGGCGCGUAGGCGGCUGAUUUAGUCGAGGGUGAAAGCCCGUGGCUCAACCACGGAAUGGCCUUCGAUACUGGUUGGCUUGAGACCGGAAGAGGACAGCGGAACUGCGAGUGUAGAGGUGAAAUUCGUAGA